GGAAUGCUUUACACAUGCAAGUCGAGCGGCAGCGCGGGGGCAACCCUGGCGGCGAGCGGCGAACGGGUGAGUAAUACAUCGGAACGUGUCCUGGAGUGGGGGAUAGCUCGGCGAAAGCCGGAUUAAUACCGCAUAAGCUCUGAGGAGGAAAGCGGGGGAUUCGCAAGGACYUCGCGCUGUUGGAGCGGCCGAUGUCGGAUUAGCUAGUUGGUGGGGUAAAGGCCCACCAAGGCGACGAUCCGUAGCUGGUCUGAGAGGAUGAUCAGCCACACUGGAACUGAGACACGGUCYAGACUCYUACGGGAGGCAGCAGUGGGGAAUUUUGGACAAUGGGGGCAACYYUGAUCCAGCCAUUCCGCGUGAGUGAAGAAGGCCUUCGGGUUGUAAAGUUCUUUCGGACGGAACGAAAUGGUUACGGCUAACACCUGUGACUGAUGACGGUACCGUAAGAAGAAGCACCCGGCUAACUACGUGCCAGCAGCCGCGGUAAUACGUAGGGUGCGAGCGUUAAUCGGAAUUACUGGGCGUAAAGCGUGCGCAGGCGGCGGCUCAAGUCAGGUGUGAAAUCCCCGGGCUUAACCCUGGGAAUUGCGCUUGAAACUAGGUCGCUAGAGUGUGGCAGAGGGGGGUGGAAUUCCACGUGUAGCAGUGAAAUGCGUAGAGAUGUGGAGGAACACCGAUGGCGAAGGCAGCCCCYCUGGGUCAACACUGACGCUCAUGCACGAAAGCGUGGGGAGCAAACAGGAUUAGAUACCYUGGUAGUC
rnacentral:rRNA from 1 species